rnacentral:ribozyme from 1 species
GUUUUUUUUUUUUUUUUUUUUUUUUUUUUUUUUUUUGGCACUGCUUGGCCUACAUAAACAAGAUCAAGACCUGAG